rnacentral:rRNA from 1 species
UCCCCUAGUAACUGCGAGUGAAGCGGGAAAAGCUCAAAUUUAAAAUCUGGCGCAAGCCCGUGUUGUAACCUAGAGAAGUGUUUUCGGCCGUUGUACUUGGACAAGUCCCUUGGAACAGGGCGUCAUAGAGGGUGAGAAUCCCGUGCUUGCCAAGCUCACAAUGUCUAUGCGAUACGCUUUCGAAGAGUCGAGUUGUUUGGGAAUGCAGCUCAAAUUGGGUGGUAAAUUCCAUCUAAAGCUAAAUAUUGGCGAGAGACCGAUAGCGAACAAGUACCGUGAGGGAAAGAUGAAAAGAACUUUGGACAGAGAGUUAAACAGUACGUGAAAUUGCUGAAAGGGAAGCGCUUGAAGUCAGUCGCGUCGGCAGGGACUCAGCCUUAACCGGUGCAUUUCCUUGUCGACGGGCCAACAUCGAUUUCGACCGUGGGAGAAGGGCUUGAGGAAAGUGGCAGCUUCGGUUGUGUUAUAGCCUCCUGUCGUAUGCCACGGUCGGGAUCGAGGACCGCGGCUUUUGCCUAGGAUGUUGGCGUAAUGGCUUUAAGCGACCCGUCUUGAAACACGGACCAAGGAGUCUAACAUGUCUGCGAGUGUUCGGGUGUCAAACCCGUGCGCGCAAUGAAAGUAAACGUAGGUGGGAGGCCUCGGCCGCACCAUCGACCGAUCCGGAUCUUUUGGGAUGGAUUUGAGUAAGAGCAUAUAUGUUGGGACCCGAAAGAUGGUGAACUAUGCCUGAAUAGGGCGAANCCAGAGGAAACUCUGGNGGAGGCUCGUAGCGAUUCUGACGUGCAAAUCGAUCGUCAAA